GACGUAGGGCGCGAGCGUUGUCCGGAUUUAUUGGGCGUAAAGAGCUCGUAGGCGGCUUGUCGCGUCGACUGUGAAAUCCCGCAGCUCAACCGCGGGUCUGCAGUCGAUACGGGCAGGCUAGAGUUCGGUAGGGGAGACUGGAAUUCCUGGUGUAGCGGUGAAAUGCGCAGAUAUCAGGAGGAACACCGAUGGCGAAGGCAGGUCUCUGGGCCGAUACUGACGCUGAGGUGCGAAAGCGUGGGGAGCAAACAGG
rnacentral:rRNA from 1 species